GCCGUUCAUAUGGAUAUAUUGAUAGAUUUUCAGCAGCCAUAUCUCCAUUAUUCUGUAAGACAUCACUACUUUUACUAGGAAUCAGCGAAGGUGAUAAUGAUGCUGCGGUCGAGGAACCUGCAAUGGACAAACAGGUCAGAAGUCUGAUACGGUAUGUUUUAUCUUUGGGAUGCUGAAGCUGUGAGCAGUAUACUCCCUCUAAAGAUAAAGGGAAAAGAGGGUAGAGAGUGACGUAUUUGAUAUGAGUCUUAUUGGCGACAAUUCAAGUAAUGACUGUCAGUGGCUAAACGUGUGACAGAGCUACGGUGGGCGACGGCGAAUGGUGUGAACAACAAAGUGAUUAGCAUCAUUAUACUAUAUGAACAAAUACAUGAUUAACAAGUAUAUCGGUCAAAUGUGUCAUUAUUAAAUAUAUUAAUCAAGUGUAUUAAAUGUAUAUCCGUCAUUGAGAAUAUUUAUAAUAUUUUACAUCUUUAUAUGUCA